UGGAAAGUGAACUCUAGCGAGAUCUGAGCGUUGCCGCAUUAAGGCUCGAACCGCCAGAAGGUUGGUCCUUAAGGACUUAGAGUCCAAUAGAAUCCUGAUUGUUGCUUUUAGUAACUGUAUGAUAUAAAGACACUGGAGGCGGUGUUAUUCCUGCAAUGUAAUCAUUGCAGUUUCUCAAAUGUUGUACAUUGCAGGACUAAGUAGGAGAGGGACACUGCACCCAGACCACUUCAAAGAGCUGAAGUGGCCUGGGUGCCUAUAGUGUUAAAGGAACACUAUAGUCACCUAAAUUACUUUAGCUAAAUAAAGCAGUGUUAGUGUAUAGAUCAUUCAUCUGCAAUUGCACUGCUC